CAGAGCCUAAAAACUCUCAAACCCACUGUUAAUUAUACCUUUUUUGUUGCUUUGGCGGGCAGUCCCAGGGCGGGGCCUUGCCUGUAUUUUUGCAGGUGUCCGCCGAAAGCACCCUAAAAUUCUUUUUUUAUAGCUGUCUGAGUUUUAAAAACAAAUAAGUCA
rnacentral:misc_RNA from 1 species